UCCCUGGUAGUAUAUCGGUUAGUACACGCGCCUGUCAUCGCAUUUGCAAACGCGCGAAAGCUGGGUUCGACUCCCAGCCAGGGAG
rnacentral:tRNA from 2 species